AGUGAACGCUGGCGGUAGGCCUAACACAUGCAAGUCGAACGGCAGCACAGUAAGAGCUUGCUCUUACGGGUGGCGAGUGGCGGACGGGUGAGGAAUACAUCGGAAUCUACUUUUUCGUGGGGGAUAACGUAGGGAAACUUACGCUAAUACCGCAUACGAUCUACGGGUGAAAGCAGGGGAUCUUCGGACCUUGCGCGAUUGAAUGAGCCGAUGUCGGAUUAGCUAGUUGGCGGGGUAAAGGCCCACCAAGGCGACGAUCCGUAGCUGGUCUGAGAGGAUGAUCAGCCACACUGGAACUGAGACACGGUCCAGACUCCUACGGGAGACAGCAGUAGGGAAUAUUGGACAAUGGGCGCAAGCCUGAUCCAGCCAUACCGCGUGAGUGAAGAAGGCCUUCGGGUUGUAAAGCCCUUUUGUUAGGAAAGAAAAGCAGCAGGUUAAUACCCCGCUGUUCUGACGGUACCCAAAGAAUAAGCACCGGCUAACUUCGUG
rnacentral:rRNA from 1 species